GACGAACGCUGGCGGCGUGCUUAACACAUGCAAGUCGAACGGAAAGGCCCUGCUUUUGUGGGGUGCUCGAGUGGCGAACGGGUGAGUAACACGUGAGUAACCUGCCCUUGACUUUGGGAUAACUUCAGGAAACUGGGGCUAAUACCGGAUAGGAGCUCCUGCUGCAUGGUGGGGGUUGGAAAGUUUCGGCGGUUGGGGAUGGACUCGCGGCUUAUCAGCUUGUUGGUGGGGUAGUGGCUUACCAAGGCUUUGACGGGUAGCCGGCCUGAGAGGGUGACCGGCCACAUUGGGACUGAGAUACGGCCCAGACGCGUACGGGAGGCAGCAGUGGGAAAUAUUGCACAAUGGGCGGAAGCCUGAUGCAGCAACGCCGCGUGCGGGAUGACGGCCUUCGGGUUGUAAACCGCUUUCGCCUGUGACGAAGCGUGAGUGACGGUAAUGGGUAAAGAAGCACCGGCUAACUACGUG
rnacentral:rRNA from 1 species